UACGAGGGGGGCAAGCGUUGUUCGGAAUUAUUGGGCGUAAAGGGUGCGUAGGCGGUUCGGUAAGUCACCAGUGAAAUCUAUGGGCUCAACCCAUAGUCUGCUGGCGAAACUGCCGGGCUUGAGUAUGGGAGAGGUGAGUGGAAUUUCCGGUGUAGCGGUGAAAUGCGUAGAUAUCGGAAGGAACACCUGUGGCGAAAGCGGCUCACUGGACCAUAACUGACGCUGAGGCACGAAAGCUAGGGGAG
rnacentral:rRNA from 1 species